GGAAGAAGUAGCACGUUGAAUGCACCAGGUCCCAACGGAUCACUGAGGUUAAGCAACGCGUGCUUGGUACCUAUUUGGACGGGUGACCGUCUGGACAAUCAUGUGCUGCUGGCU
rnacentral:rRNA from 1 species